AGGUUUAGCAGUGACAAUAUCGUAGCCAAUGAAGGCCUCCUCCUGAGGUGUGAUUAUUGCUAGUUGAAAACUCUUCUCAAGUAUUAGGCUUUCGAAUGUCCUUUGUUUAAAAUUUAAAUAUUUUAACGCUGUUUAAGU
rnacentral:snRNA from 1 species